GCGAAGCAGUGACAGUUCAUGGAGCUGCCCUUCACAAACCUUGAAGUAGCUUUCAUCUUGCUGGCUUUUGUCAUUUUCUCCUUGUUUAUCCUGGCUUCCAUCUACAGUGACCCACAUGACAACAAAGAAGAGGAAAGCUCCACACAGAAAGAGUACAAGAAAAGGAGCAAAUCCAAGAAGAAAAAGACACAUUCAAGUAUGACUGAAGUGGUUUAGAAUAUUACCCAAGUUCACUGAGGUAGCUCUGGAAGCUGGCCACCUGAAGACAGUGAGAAAAAGGAAGUGAGAAAGGAAGAACCAGAUCAUCCAUCAGAUGGAAUCCAGACAUGACAAUUAGAGUUAAUGAACCACGACCCAUGAAGCUGCUUCAGCACCUUUUUACAACCCCACGUCAUGGCCUAAAUAAAACCACCAGGGCUUAUUUUACAGAGCACAUCUGCUCUAAAUUCCAAAAGGAGAAACUUUUGAUUCAGAAGAUACGUUUGGUUUCUUCCUCACUUUUCAGUCAUGUACAUUUAACAGUAGUGAAUUUACUUUUCUAUCUGUUAAGUCAACAGAACAUAGGCAUCAGAAGAUUUUUUUUUUUUUUUAACAAUGAGACUACUAUUGUAGUAGUUAUUUAAUUUACAUUAACUUUAAUAAGUUGCUGAAGCUGACUGAAAAGUACCAGGCAACUAUUUUUUAUAUUUCUCCGGUACAAUGGCAUCUAUUUUCAAGAACUGCUUUCGAGUUCAGAUAUUUAGAAAGUUUAUAGUAUGCUUUACAAAACUUAGGUUGAUUUGCUGCAUUUGAAAGGUGCCUUAGCCUUGAUACUGAAGUCCUCCAUUUCUUCACAGGGCUAAUGAAACAAUACCCCUUUCUCCCCCAGAGUUCAGAAGAUCUGCUGAACUUCUAAGGCUGAGGUUGGAACUGAUCCUUCUUGCCUUACAGAUAAAGCAUUUCUGCCAUUUUUCAGUUUUUGGAUCCUACCCAUUUCCUUAGGUCUCAAGUACCAGUAGUACACCAGCACUGCUUCUUGUAUGUACAAGCGAAAAGAAAUGAGGGGAAGAACAAAUAGCUCACAGACUAAUUUUUGAAGACUCCCUUUCGCAUAUUAGGAGAUAACUGAAGGAGCUGUGGACUGGGCUACAACAUAUAAUAUAUUCAGGGAAGGAGAAGUCAUUUUGUUCCUCGCCAUAGAGACAAAAGUGAAAAUAUCAAGAAGUUGGCCUUGUUGUAACACAAAGCUUCAGAUGGUAACUGUUGAGCAGCCUAAUUAUGAUGCAUCGUUUUCAAAAUGUCGGUGCUUUUCAGGAAAGUAAAGAGAAUGUCUUAUUCUGUCAGAUAGCUAAUGUUAAACGUAAUAAAACCGGGAUUUGGGUUUAAUACUA